rnacentral:rRNA from 1 species
AUCACUCAUUAUUGCCAACCCAUCAUCAGUAUUGAAUAACUUCAUAAAUUAUGAAAACUACCAUGCUAGAACUAGUAACAAGAAAAUGAAUUUCUCCAAAGUGUGAACAUAAACCAAAACGGACACCCCAUUGGUAAUUAACGACUCUGAUCCCAUUAUAGCAAAGCAUCUAGAAAAUCCUAUACUUAGUAUCGUCAACCUUAACCCAAAAACUCUUCUGGAAAGAUUAAAAGGAAGAGAAGGAACUCGGCAAAUCUUAACCCCGCCUGUUUACCAAAAACAUCGCCUCUUGCUUAGUUAUAAGAGGUCUAGCCUGCCCAGUGUUUCAAUCAACGGCCGCGUUAUAUAAGCGCGCGAAGGUAGCAUAAUAAUUUGUUCUUUAAAUGAGGACUUGUAUCAAUGGCAUCACGAGGGUUAUACUGUCUCCUCUCCCCAAUCAGUGAAACUAAUCUCCCUGUGAAAAAGCAGGAAUAAGAACAUAAGACGAGAAGACCCCAUGGAGCUUAAAACACGGCAACAACCCUAAUAAGAAAUCAAUACAGUAUUAAUACAUGUAUGCCUGUUUUAGGUUGGGGUGACCACGGAGCAAAACAAAGCCUCCACAACGAGAAGGGGCUACACCCUUAUCCAAGAGACACGCCUCUAGAAUUAUAAAAAUAACGUCUAAUGAUCCGAUUAUCGACCAAUGGACCAAGUUACCCUGGGGAUAACAGCGCAAUCCACUCUAAGAGCUCCUAUCGACGAGUGGGCUUACGAACCUCGAUGUUGGAUCAGGAUAUCCCAGUGGUGCAGCCGCUACUAAAGG